AUUGAACGCUGGCGGCAGGCCUAACACAUGCAAGUCGAACGAGUGGCGGACUGGUGAGUAAUGUCUGGGAAACUGCCUGAUGGAGGGGGAUAACUACUGGAAACGGUAGCUCCUACCGCAUACCAUCGGAUGUGCCCAGAGGGUAUUCGCUAGUAGGUGGGGUAAAGGCUCACCUAGGCGACGAUCCCUAGCUGGUCUGAGAGGAUGACCAGCAACACUGGAAAGGAGACACGGUCCAAACUCCUAGGGGAGGAAGCAGUGGGGAAUAGGGCACAAGGGGGGCAAGCCGGAUGCAGCCAUGCCGAGUGUAUGAAGAAGGCAUUCGGGGUGUAAAGUACUUUCAGCGGGGAGGCGGUACCCGCAGAAGAAGCACCGGCUAACUCCGUGCCAGCAGCCGCGGUAAUUC
rnacentral:rRNA from 1 species